rnacentral:rRNA from 1 species
UACGGAGGGGGCUAGCGUUGUUCGGAAUUACUGGGCGUAAAGCGCGCGUAGGCGGCUUUGUAAGUUAGAGGUGAAAGCCCGGAGCUUAACUCCGGAACUGCCUUUAAGACUGCAUCGCUAGAAUUGUGGAGAGGUGAGUGGAAUUCCGAGUGUAGAGGUGAAAUUCGUAGAUAUUCGGAGGAACACCAGUGGCGAAGGCGGCUCACUGGUCCAUUACUGACGCUGAGGUGCGAAAGCGUGGGGAGCAAACAGG